CAUGUAAGGGCUAACUUCAUGUUUUAUGAAAAAGAGCAGCAUGAACAUUUCAGUUCGAGUUCCACACAGGAAAGUCAGUGAUGGGGGAUAAAAGAAUUGUCAUUGAACAUUGCUUUAUUGAUAAACUUUUAAUAGGUCUUCAUUUUAAGAUCAAACAUUUGAUUUAGUUUCAUGUGUUCAAACUUUUGUCCUAGUGAUGUGAAGGCCACACUAAGACAUGAAGCUCGUCUGACGCACAGCGGGGAGCAUCUAUCUAGAUUUUAGAUCAAUAUCAACUGACGCAGAUGUCAUUAAUUUUCUCAACAAAAAAAAAAAAUACAUUAAACAUCCCCAGCAAACCCAGCAUGCACAUUAGGCACUGAUUUGCAUAGCAGAAGCUUUGCUCACACUCAAGAUUUGGACUUUAAAUGUAGAUGAAACACAGAACCUGACGCGGGGAAUUAAUAAUUUUGAGUGGAACAUCAAAGGCUCACGUCGUCUCUGCUCCAGUGGGGACAGCAGCGGCCGCGUCUUCCUUCUGCACGUUACGUCCUGUGUGUGUGUGUGUGUGUGUUUUAAAAGGAGGGCAAAUGGCAGCGUUGGUGGUGCCUGGAUUCAGUGUUUUUAUCUGGCUCAGUGAUGCGGAAGAGGAAGCCUUGAGAUGCGGCACGCUGUUGUGUCGAGCUGACUUCCUGAAAAUAGAGACACAGCGCACACACUGACAUGACUGGAUCAGAACUGUAUAGACACUAAAGAACAUUGUCUCAUUUCCAAAAGACAAAGCAAAAUAACAUAUGAAUCUGAACUAACGCUCUGCUAUUAUUCCAGCACAAAGCCUGAUAACAAGGCCUUUAAUCCCAUAAUAGAUCUGUUGGAUUUGGGAUUCAGGGGUAAAUUGUUUGCAUGGGUGGAGUGGUGGUGUGAGACCACGGCCUCAUGUUGAGCAGGAUGAGAGAUUUCUGCGGCAGCUGAAGAGUCCUUCACUCGGGGAAGGGUGAGCGCGAGACCAGCUGUCUGCACCUCACCUGCUGCUGGGAAUGUGAAUGACUGCUUGGUCGAAACGCAGAAACCAAUAGGGCUGCAAUUGCUUUAGAUUGAAGACAUAGGGCUCUAGGUCUUUCACUGCCCAGAAUAACGCAUCCAAUCUGACAGCAGAAUGAUUCAAGGGCACUUUAAGAGUCACCUCUAAAGUAGUGAAGGAACCUCUCUGUAAACAGCUGAAUAAAACACUGCAAGGGCCGUCAAAUCUGCUUGGACUUGCUAAAGAUGAAGACCAAGAAAGUGAGAGCCAUGAUAUUUAUAUAGGCUAUACUAUAGGAUCAUACUCCUGAAGACUGGAGUAAUGAUGCUGAAUGCUGAAAAUCCAGCUUUGCAUCAUAGGAAUAAAUUAUAUUUUCAAAUAUAUUCAAAUAGAAAACAGUUAUUUUAAACUGUACUAAUAUUUUAAAAUAUAUAUAUUUUUUACUGUAUUUAAAUCAAAUAAAUGCAGCCUUGGUGAGCAUAAGAGACUUCUUGUGAAAAAAAACAAUAAAUA
rnacentral:lncRNA from 12 species